CCAUGGAUAUGAACCUCCCACAUAGCUAGGAGGGGAAAGAGGGCUGGAAGGUGAGAGUGAAGGUGAAAGAAGAGGCGGUGUGUGUCUGGAGGUGGGCCUGUCUUUUCACAUGGUCCCUCUACCAGGGCAUGAGAGCUAUGGGAGGUACAUGGGAGGGGAGGGGGGCAGGAGAGCGAGGUGGCACUCGAAACUUCUCCUUGAUGUAAGAUUAGUGCCAAGGCCAGUUUAGCGGCUCGGGGUGGUGCCCGUCAGGAUGAGCUAUCCAAACCACCCUCCCCCUCUUUCUGGUCCCCAUCCAGCAGCCCUGCUCCCCAACAAGCUUGCAUACCUACAACCUGUGCAUGGAGGUGGGGGCUUUCCCGAGUGUUUGGGGCGGUGGGAGAGCCAAGGGGACAGAGGGAAUAGGCAAGCCUUCUGCAAAGCUAGACCACUCAAGAGGUGCCAGCCUGUGCCAGCUCCACCCUGAUCGCAGCCUAUCCCUGAAACACCACAGGACUUGAGUUUGCAAGGCAAAGAAGGGAGAAGGGUUGUGAAGAGAAGCCAGCAAGAGAACAAAGGAGGCUUUGCCUGAGAAGAGAGGGAGGUACCUUCCACGGAGGCCUCAGGGCCUGGGGAAGGCCAGGCGUGUCUCCUUGGGCCCGGGGAAAUGGGGGUGUGUUCGCGUCCAAGAGGGCGUGGCCCGCGUCCGCCGCAGGGGCAGCCGCCCAGCCCUGAGCCCAGCCCAGCCCUUGCAGUCUAUUUCGUCCCAAACCGCAGCCACCUAGGGAGCCCUGGACCUCAUCCAGGACACAGAGGAUACACUGGUGACAUCCUAGACUCAGGCUUCAAGCAGCCAGCCUGCUUAGUCCUCAGCAGCUUCAGCCAGAGACCUACAUGGCCUGUGCCCUCCUGUGGGCCUGUGGCAGGAUCGGAUCAGCACCCUCGAAAACCUCAGCAUGGGGUGCAGGUCUUUGCCCGUGCAGACUCUAACUCUACUCCCGAAGUUUUUGUCCUGGUUUGCAAUCUCUGUCUUGUUUUUGGCAUGUUUUCUUUAGUGGAGUUGGGGGGGGGGGGUCUCACUCUGUAGCCCAAGCUGGCCUGAAACUCACUAUGUAGCCCUGGCUGGCCUCGAACUCUUGUCAGUCUUCCUGCCUCACUCUCUCAAGUGCUGGGAUGACAGGUGGGAACUGUCACUCCCAGCCUGGUUUGUAAUUUUUGGGUGAGUGGAUCCUAAGAGUCAGGCUCCAUGAUCAACUGUAAUUCUUCAGCCGUGGCUCUGGGACAGGGAACACUAUCCCCACAACAACCUCAUGGAUCACAAAGGGUGACUAUCACAUCUGGCUGUUCUGAUGGAAAUAAAGACAGAAUUCCAAAAUGAA